GUGCCAGCCGCCGCGGUAAUACGGAGGGUGCAAGCGUUAUCCGGAUUCACUGGGUUUAAAGGGUGUGUAGGCGGGCUGUUAAGUCAGUGGUGAAAUCUCCGGGCUCAACCCGGAAACUGCCAUUGAUACUAAUGGUCUUGAAUUUUGUUGAGGUAGGCGGAAUAUGUCAUGUAGCGGUGAAAUGCUUAGAUAUGACAUAGAACACCGAUUGCGAAGGCAGCUUACUAAGCAAAUAUUGACGCUGAGGCACGAAAGCGUGGGGAUCAAACAGGAUUAGAUACCCGUGUAGUCC
rnacentral:rRNA from 1 species